AAUUUAAUACGUCCGUAUUGGAGAUCAUAAAAAUAAUGCUGUCCGAGAUGGGCUAAGCAGGCUGCUUUUAUAUCUUUUUACACAAAGAAACGAUAGAUUUGUGAGGAAUUGACAGGACAAAGAAACUCAGCUUUGGGAAAUGUAAUUAGUGAGGAAUUUAGGCAGAGUUUAGGCUUGAGGUAUUAAAUUAGUAAAAGUAACAAGUUUGUUUAUGCAGGCUUCUCAGCCCUGAAUUCCCCAGCUCUGGUGGGGAGGACGUCUCUCUAGCUCCUGCUGUGGGGAGGGGACCCUUCACCGGGAGAUUUAUUUCCUGCUCUCAGGGCGAACAGAGAGAGGAGGGGAAAUGCAAUUUUUGUCUUGGCUGCUUCUCAAGUAACUUUAAAAUAAUCAAUAUGGCAUUAUGGGAUAUUUUGGGGCGGCCUGUGCUGAGCCCCAGCAGUACAUAUGUGUGUGUAUACACGCGUGUGUGUAUGCAUUCAUACCCAUGUGCGAACCCCCUACAUGCUACUCUGUUAUAUGGUAUCUCACUAGUACCCUAGCAGGGCAUCUGUCCAUGUUGAUACAAAUGGUUCUCAAUCGGGUUCCCCCAGAAGUGGGCCCUGAGACAAGGAUUUGGGUGAAAGUUGCUUUGGGAGUGAUCCCAGAUGGCCCCACGACAUACGGGUGGGGGAUGGAGGAAGUGAGACAGGGAAGGAAAAGAAAGCAAGACCGAGAACACUAAUGAGCAGGUCACCAAUUUGGGGCAACUGAGGCCCAGGCCCAGAGGGAGACCCGUAGCACAUGCCUUGCUGCUGGCCCCUAGAGGGAUGGGAUGUUCCCAUAUUUAUCCUCAGGUGUGAAAGCUGUUGGGACUGUCGCCUGCCCAGCACAGCCAGCCUGCCCUGCCUGUGGGGCUGAGCAGAAACCCAACAGGCCACUGGGGCCUUUAGUAGGACACGGCGGGCCAUGUCCUGGAAGGUGCGUUCCAGGGCACCAACAUUACCUACAGUUACCUAGUUCUUUUUACCAGUUGCGUAAUAUUCCAGUUGUAGCUGUGCUAUAACUCACUGCAUGAGGCUCCUGUGGGUGACAGUGUAGGUGGGGAGUAUUCCCAUUUUGAGCACACACGUGCAAACUCUUCUCAUCUGUGUGGUCAUCUCCUUGGAUUAAUCCCCUCAUUUCUUCCUCUGCCUUCAGGGACGGCCCUGCCCGGUGGCACCAGGGCCUCCUGCCCCAUCCACGAGCUCCUUGGCUCUCUCUUGUCUACUCCCAAUUCUUCACUCACGCGUAGAAUUUUCACGCGCCUAUCCCACAAAGUUCCUGUGACUUAGAAUUUUAAGGUUGAAUUUAUUUUCUUGCACAAGGAAUACUUUGCCCUUGGCAAAGAUUCCAAAGGUACAAAGGGCAUAUGGGAAAAAGCACGCCUCCUGGCCUCUGGGCCCCCCAGCUCCCGACUCUGGAGAGAGACACUCCUGCCAGUUUCUUGUGUAGCCUGCCAGAGAUGUCCCACGUGCUGACAAACAUACUUUUCUGCAUUUUUUCCAGUGAAAUGGGAAUCUUCAGAUGUAGGGACACGAGGCCCACGGCAGGGGGUGGGGAAGGAGAUGAAGAGUUCUUUCUGAAGUCAUCAUCUCUCCCCUGAGCUGGGUCCCCUUGCAACCUGACCAGGACUGCGUGCCGCCACCCGCCCCUCCGCCUCCUCCUGCGCUUCCUUGAGCCAACUGGUCACGAGUUCUGCCAUUUUCCCUCCCCAGCCUCGCUUGGGUUGUUCCUCCUGGAUCUGCGUCCUCCACCACUGCAGUGGUCAGCUGAUGCCUGGAUCCCUCCAAAAGCCUCCGGGCCAGUCCCCUGCCUCCGUGCCCUCCACUCCAGAUGCGGCCAGGGCUGCAGACGCACUCGGAAUCUCUCUGAGUCUUUCUGUGUGUCCCCUGGGAGGGAGGCUGAGCUCCUUGCAAACAAGGACAAUGUGGUCAUAGCUUCUGGGUGUUGCACAAAGUCUGACCCAGUGCCCCAUACGGGACAAGGUGACAACCAGUUUCCUGACCUGGUUGGGGGAGCACAGCCAGCACAGUAUGUCCUCACGGACUACAGCACGCACUCACCCAGGCCCUGCAGCCCGUCGGCCGGGGUUUGCAUCUCGGCUCUGCCCCUUUAAGCUGUGUGACCUUGGACCAAGUUGCUUAACCUGCCUCUGCCUCAGUUUCUUCAUCUGCAAAACGGCACAACGAUAAUAGAGAAAGGCAGCUCCCUGGGGGCCAGGAGAAAGACGUUUGCCCAGACGACCACCUGGCAUGUAAUCGAGGGACUGGCAAAGCAUCCUGAGAGCCCAGGGAAGGGGCACUCCGCUCUUCCGGAUGCACAGGCUAAUGGCAGAUGGAUUUUUAGUCCAAUUCAAACCUUCCCGGGAGAGAGAAGGCCCCGAGCCUUGGCGAUUCCUUUCGUGAAGCCGAGCUCCAGCAGAUGGAGGCGGGGCCCGGGGUCUCAGAAGGAGAGACCGUCAGAGAUCCACCUGGCUUCCAAACGCAGCCUCAGCCUGGCCCUUGGGGACGAUAUGUCCUUUUGGGUUCCUUCAGCGAUCUGGAAGGUUUUCUUCAGGAAAACAUUCCUCAUUGGGUGAAAUCAGUUUCAAUUUCAAGGUAUGGGUUUGACCAUUAGAUCGAGUCUUCCUUUAAAGGGGCAGGCAAACGACGAGUUUCUGUUUGUAUGCAUUGAAUCAUCCUGGGAGAAGAGACUUUUCUGGAAGGCAAGAAACUGUCAGCGUGCCAUAGAGCUACACGUAUUAACAAUUAGCCACCGACAUGACAAGGACGAUGACAUUUACUCCUACAUACCCACCAGUGCAAGGCAAGCUGGGGACCACUGGUGGCCCCACUUGACAGCACCAACUUGCUCCGGGCACAGGGGGCGUGAGCGGUGGGGAUGGGGUUCAGCUUUGCCAGGCUGACAGACUCUGCUUCGAGUGAUUCAGAAGUCCCCUCAGUUCCUUAUUUAUCCAAACCCGCAGCCCCGAGGAGCCCUCUGGUUAAGACCUUUGGUUAAGAGGGGAGGCUGCAGCCGAGCGGCUCCCCCCAGCAUCCCACCUGUUCUGGGGUUGUAACUACAAGUUGGACAGGGUCCCCCACUCCGCACCAGGUUUUCCAUGAGCUAGAGGAAACCUUCCUGGGUUAAGCCCCUGAGAGUCUGGGGUUUAUCUGUUACGUAGCAUCGUGCGGUCUGCCCUGACGAACACACCAGAUGAUUCUGAAGUGCCGCCACGGUUGGGACUUGCUGUGCCUCUCUGUGAUUUCGUCUCUUCAUGUGUAAAAUGUGGGUAAAAUCACCGUAUCUGGGUCACAGGGCUGUGGGGUGUGAGAUGGGUUGGCCUUUGUCACACACCUGGCUGGGCGGCCUGCACAUGGUACCGGCUCCACCAAUGUUACCAUGGCAACAUCCUGGCCCCAACAGCACACCUGGGCCUUCCCAGCCCUGGGCUUCCGGCCCCUGGGCCAGGAGACCAGAGGCUCCAGGGCAGCCCCAUGCAGUGUAAUUUUACUUUCAAAUGGUUCCUCGAUGGAGUGAUCUUUGUCCUCAGAGAUCAUUCUCAGAGACAAUCUCAUAAAGGCUCUGCCAGCCCUGAACUUUCAUUGGGAGCGUGGCUGUAGGCUAAGACCCUCACCUUGCAGUUCUGUUAUGCACGUCAAGGCCUGGAAUGGUUGGCGCGGGUUCCCGAGGGGAAUGUCUGUGUGUCCUGGUAGCCAUGGACAGGAAGGAAGAAAGAAGAAAGCCAGACGGCCUCUCCUGGGGCGUUAGGUGAGCUGGGUUUCUGCAUCUCCUCCGUCUCUGCUGCCUUGUUUGUGCACGAAGUGGGUGAAAGGUCUCCUGGCUCUCUAGGUGUGCUGCUCUAUGUCCCAGAGCCACUGUGCGGUGGCGCCUGCCUUGGCGGAAGUGGCCCCAGGGUGUGGGACACUGGGAGGAAAUGCCUCGCACAGCUGCUGUUCUGACCGCUGAGCUCCGCCUUCGGGAACGAGGACAGCCCCUUCUGUGAUCUCUUUAGACAAGGCAGAGCCCCGCCUGCCCAGAGGACAACAAUUUCCACGUUUAGUGCUUCCAGAGCAGUCUUAUGUGGUUCCAGCAGACACGAGGGACUCAGCUCUUCCACAAAGCGCUGGGCCAUCAGCCUCACCAGAUACCACUGGGCAGCCUCCACCGAUGGCCCCCAACCCCCGAAUGUGGCCUGGGACCCCCCCACCAGUGUCUGCACUUCAUGGAAGGAGCCACUCCAGCCCUCCACACGGCAGCAACCCUGUUCACCCGCAGUGAGGGGUUCGGGGUUCUGAGGGAGACCCGCACCCAUCCAGUGUGCUAACUGCAGGACUGCCGCGGGCCAGUUGUGGCCACGGACGCUGGGUGUGCCUUAGCGAGCCAACAGAUGUACGCCCCUCCUCCUCCAGGUGGGGGAAACCCGGACCAAUAAACACGCAUGUGCUGACACAAGGAAGAAGUCAGGGAGCGGGCAGGGUCCUGAGGGAGGGACCUCCUGAGAUGCGAGGGCUGGGCAGCCCCAUCUGAGCUAGGACAUGCGUCAAGAGCUGUCAGGCACGCUGGUUAGUGACGGAGGUGACGGUCAGAGUCAAAGUCCCCGUGCCUAACCCCUGGCUGUCCUGUGUCCUGCGCUGUCCCCUUUCACACCCUCCUUAUAUGCCUUCCCCCUACUGCCAUCUCUGGUACACGCAGGCUUGGCUGGGAGGUUUUGGGGUGGCAGCAGCCUCGGGCCCAGCCUGGCCCAGAGAGGGUGAGCCAAGCUCUGCAGUCCAGGGGAGCAAGCCGGGGGGAAGAUGGAGGGGAAAUGCUCGGGGAGGAUAGCCACAGAGCCUCGGGAGCAGGGUGGGCCAAGGUGGGCGCGGACCAGGUGGUGGCUGGGUCAAUGGGAGGCCAGGCAAGAAGGAGCCUGGAGGCCCCUGGGUGAAGGCCACGCUGCUCACUGAGCAGCCAAGCGUUCCUGCAGAAAAGGGAACAGAGAAUCCUGGCCCGGGCGCACCCAGCCGGCAGCCGGCAUGAGAGACAGCGGGGGGUGGUGUGGGCCAGAGCCUCCUCCCCACCCCGAGCUGACCCGCAGCGUGGCUGUGACCUCUCGCCCAGAACAGCUGCGUCAGGAAGAACCUGCCAGGGAACAAGCACCCUCUACAGAGAGUUACCUGGAUCUGUUUUCUGCCUUUUUUUAAAGUCAAGUGACAUCGUUAACGUAGUCCAGUUUUUUUUCUAUUUUUUUUAUCAUGGUAAAAUAUACACAUAACAAUUUACCACCUCAACCAUUUUUAAGUGACAAUUCAGCGGCAUUGAGGACAUUUACAAUGUUGUGCAACCAUCCCCACCAUCUACUUCCAGACUUUCUCAUGACCUCAAACAGCAACCCCGUACCCAUUAAGCAAGAACUUCGUGUUCCCGGGCUCCCAGCCUCCGGUAAGCUUUCAUGCUUGUGUCUAUGAAUUUGCCAAUUGUAGGUAUUUCGUAGCAGUGGAAUCAGACGGUAUUUGUCCUUUUGUGUCUGGCUCCUGUUACUUACCAGAGUGUGUUCAAGGUGCACCUGUCUCGCGGUGAACACGACAUGUGGCCAUGCUUCAUUCCUUCUCGCUGAAUGACGUGCCAUCAUGUGGUCAGGGUACAUUUAUUUAUUCGUCCACCUCUUGAUGGACACUCAGUACUUUCUGCCUUUGGCUAUUGUGAACCAAGCCUAGUCCGUUUUUUUUUUUUUUUUUGAGGAAGAUUAGCCCUGAGCUAACAUCUGCUGCCAAUCCUCCCCUUUUUGCUGAGGAGGACUGGC